rnacentral:rRNA from 1 species
GACGAACGCUGGCGGCGUGCUUAACACAUGCAAGUCGAACGGUAAGGCUCCAGCUUGCUGGGGUACACGAGUGGCGAACGGGUGAGUAACACGUGGGUGACCUGCCCUGCACUUCGGGAUAAGCCUGGGAAACUGGGUCUAAUACCGGAUAGGACCACGGUGUGGAUACUGUGGUGGAAAGUUUUUUCGGUGUGGGAUGGGCCCGCGGCCUAUCAGCUUGUUGGUGGGGUAUUGUCCUACCACGGCGGCGACGGGUAGCCGGCCUGAGAGGGUGGACGGCCAAAUGGGGACUGAGACACGGCCCAGACGCCUAGGGGAGGCAGCAGUGGGGAAUAUUGCACAAUGGGCGGAAGCCUGAUGCAGCGACGCCGCGUGGGGGAUGACGGCCUUCGGGUUGUAAACUCCUUUCACCAUCGACGAAGGGUUUCUGACGGUAGAUGGAGAAGAAGCACCGGCUAACUACGU